rnacentral:rRNA from 1 species
AGGAAAGCAGGGGAUCGCAAGACCUUGCGCUUUUGGAGCGGCCGAUGUCUGAUUAGCUAGUUGGUGAGGUAAAGGCUUACCAAGGCGUCGAUCAGUAGCUGGUCUGAGAGGACGACCAGCCACACUGGGACUGAGACACGGCCCAGACUCCUACGGGAGGCAGCAGUGGGGAAUUUUGGACAAUGGGGGAAACCCUGAUCCAGCCAUGCCGCGUGAGUGAAGAAGGCCUUCGGGUUGUAAAGCUCUUUCAGCCGGAACGAAACGGUCACAGCUAAUACCUGUGACUACUGACGGUACCGGAAGAAGAAGCACCGGCUAACUACGUGCCAGCAGCCGCGGUAAUACGUAGGGUGCGAGCGUUAAUCGGAAUUACUGGGCGCAAAGCGUGCGCAGGCGGUUUUGUAAGUCAGAUGUGAAAUCCCCGGGCUUAACCUGGGAACUGCGUUUGAAACUACAAGGCU